GAUCAGCAACACGUGACUACGGAGGGCCCUCCAAGCGAGUUUAUAAGAGUGGUUGAGGCAAGUGGCUGGUUUGGGAAUCACUGCUAAUAUUGCUUACUCACAAUUAAUAUAAUAUUAAUAUAAUAAUUUUGACAUGUAUAAUAAAUUAGAGCAACUUCAAUAAAAAAAUGAUUAGAAUAGCGAUGGGACACGCAAAGAAGCAUCCAGGGCUCAUCCCCCAGUUCCUUGUCGUCUUGUUGGGAAUAGGAGGAGCCUCUAUGUACUUGUGCCGUCUUGCAAAUGGGCCCCAUGUUAAAUGCACUGAGGAAUAUAGAGUGUACAAUUCCUUCUAUCAUCAUGUGCCGAGAAACCACCGUCAACACCUACUUGAUUGCACCUGACCAGAUGAACAGCCUUCGGAGGAAAGCCAAGUACCACUGGAACAAUACACAGGACAACAUUUAACCCGUUCAGCUUCGAGCUAACUCCAGCAUCACUGAUCAGCAACUACGUACACCUGACUCAGAUGAAGGGCAAAGGGGCGUUGACCAACAUAGAGCUGUCACAGUGCAACAAGCGUGAAUGACAUUGUUGCUGGGGUACAGCAGUAUCAAUCACUAUUGGACAACCUCAGGAAGCAGAUGGAGGCAGUGCUAAAGAAGCAUUCAGGGUGCACAUCAGGUCAACUUGAAAAAGAUGCAAUGCAUAUAUUUGACAAUUUCAUUUACCCUUUUUAUUUAGACAGGACAGUGUUAUUAAGAAGCUGUUUGGACGCAGAGGAAAUUCCAAUUUGCUCGAACCAUAUGCAGGAUCAAAAGACAUUUUCAUCAAAGACAAAUUAUUUUAUUAUGUACCAUUAGUCAAAAGUCUAGAACAGUUCUUAUCACACCCAAGGAUUUUGUCUGUGGUUGAAAAGGGACCCCAGAUGUGCAGGGAAAGUUUUUGUUCAUGACAUUGUUGAUGGUGCUCAUUUAAAAUCACAUCCCUUAUUUUCAAGAGAAACCAAAGGCAUUACAGAUUGUUCUGUACACGGAUGAAAUAGAAAUCUGUAAUCCACUAGGAUCCUUUGCAUCAAAAAACAAGUUGUUAAUGGUGUAAUACACCCUGGGGAAAUAUAAAUCCAAAAUACAGGUCUAAACUGGCUGCUAUCAGGCUACCUGCCAUGGCUAGAUCAGCAGACCUCCGUCAAUCUGGUGUAGAUGUAAUAUUGAAUAGAAUCAAGGACGACAUGGAUGCAUUGUACAGUGGGGUUAAAAUGCUAUCUAUUAACGGAGAGAAAACGAUAUAUGGUGCCAUGGUCUCUCUCUGUGGAGACACCCUGGCACAACAUGAACCAGCAGAGUUCAAAGAGAGUGUGGGCUUUGCCUAUAGUAAGCGCGGACACUGUGAGUGUUCUUUUCAGGACAUGCAGUCACACUUCAAUGAGGAUGCAUAUACUAAAAGGACAUUGGAGAAGCAUGUCAGACGCUGUGAUGAAAUAGGAAAGGCGCAGACGGACUUGCUUAGCAACAGCCUGAGAACAACAUAUGGGAUCAAUAGAAAGAGCAAGUUAGUUGAAUUCCCAGCCUUUGAUAUCAUACAACAAACUCUGCAAGACAUUAUGCAUGUCAUUCUGGAGGGCAUAGCCCCAUUGGAAGUCAAAUGUGUUUCGAAUCAUCUUUUUGUGUCAGGACAGAUUGAUCUGGACUCUGUGAUUUCUGCUGUUCUUGGUUUCUCUUAUUUCCCUCUUGAUGUUUGAGAUCGGCCACCCCCAAUUUCUGUUAGUACAUUAAAGUCAAGUGAUGGUAAACUAAAGUCAUCUUGGCAUAUGCUUGUCCUGCUAAAGAUAUUGCCAUUUGGUUUGGAGAGUUUGGAAGUCAAUGCAUAUAUACAACUGAUAAUUGAGCUAAUAGAGAUUGCACAGAUAGUAUUUUGCACCUGUUCUUACCAUUGGGACUGUGUCUAGGUUGAAGUUACUCAUUGAAAAUCAUUUGAAGCAUUGGAACGAGCUUUUUCCAGACCGCAAUGUUACACCUAAACAGCAUUAUAUGAUACAUUUGCCAUCGCAGAUAAAGUCAUUGGGGCCAAUGGUUAGACAUAUGUCUAUGCGGUUGUUUCUUUAAACAAUGGGCUUCCAAGCUCAAUUUAAUUUAAUUCAACUUUGAUCAAUCAGAACCACAUAUAUUAAAGCUGCCAAAAUGUUGACUGUUCAAUGCACCCAAAUUUCUUUUCAAAUGAAAGGGAGAUGGGACCUCUAUCAGAGGUUAAACAUCUACAAUAUUUAUGUGGAGAAUUGAGGGACUUCCUAGGUUUCAAUGAAGUAAACCAUGCUGUAUCAGUCAAAUGGCUUGUAAUAAAUUCGAAUAAAUACAUAACUCAGAAGUUCAUGAUCUUUGCCAAAGUACUGAAUGGUAAUAUGCCAGAAUUUGAACUGGUCAAAAACACAUUUCUUGUUGAUUCUAGGCAUUAUUGUUUGGAAUAUCAACCAUUUCAAACUAGAACCCUUUGAUAGAAACUUCAUGGCUUAUCAAGUUGAGGUCCCACACCUUGCACAGGCCACUGAGUUAGUGGAUGCUGAAAAGCUGGUUGAUUUGACCUCUUAUUACACAAUUAGCAACAAGAGCCAAACUUAUGUACAAGUCAAAUACCAUCUUGGGGAUGUAAUUGAAUUGUACAACAGUUCAAAUGACUCAGUGUGUUCCCCAGAUAUGAAAAGUGUACUGUCUUUGUUCUGUACUGUAUUUUGUCUACAUGAUUGCUGUGCUGUGUGUAAGAUUUACAAUAAAACAGCGAAUA